UGGGGAAUCUUGGACAAUGGGCGCAAGCCUGAUCCAGCCAUGCCGCGUGAGUGACGAAGGCCUUAGGGUUGUAAAGCUCUUUCGGCGGGGAAGAUAAUGACGGUACCCGCAGAAGAAGCCCCGGCUAACUCUGUGCCAGCAGCCGCGGUAAUACAGAGGGGGCAAGCGUUGUUCGGAAUCACUGGGCGUAAAGCGCACGUAGGUGGAUAGUUAAGUUCGGGGUGAAAUCCCAGGGCUCAACCCUGGAACUGCCUCGGAUACUGGCUAUCUCGAGUCCGGAAGAGGUGAGUGGAAUUCCUAGUGUAGAGGUGAAAUUCGUAGAUAUUAGGAAGAAUACCGGUGGCGAAGGCGGCUCACUGGUCCGGUACUGACACUGAGGUGCGAAAGCGUGGGGAGCAAACAGGAUUAGAUACCCACGUAGUCCCUGAGCGGGCUGGCAAGGCGCAU
rnacentral:rRNA from 1 species